GACAGAGGCCCCAAGCGUUAGGCGGAAUCACUGGGCUUAAAGCGUGUGUAGGCGGUCGUCCAAGUCGCGUGUGAAAGCCCCCGGCUCAACUGGGGAGGGUCACGCGAUACUGGUCGACUCGAAGGCAGGAGAGGGUAGUGGAAUUCCCGGUGUAGUGGUGAAAUGCGUAGAUAUCGGGAGGAACACCAGUGGCGAAGGCGACUACCUGGCCUGUUCUUGACGCUGAGGCGCGAAAGCUAGGGGAGCAAACGGG
rnacentral:rRNA from 1 species